UAUGGACGUAAAACAGUCUCGAUUCUUGGUUAAAAGCAAAGAAACCGUGCAGUUACUGUUUAUCAUAUGUAAAUAUGUGCAAGUACAAUGCUACUCUGUUAGCGAAUGAGGCUAGCGGCCGCUUGAUGUAAGCAGAGCUUUUCUGGAGAAAAUUCUUGUGAAUAAAUGCUUAAAUUUCCGAAUUCUUCAUGGAUAUGGACAUAAAACAGUCUCGAUUCUUGGUUGAAAGCAAAACAAAAAACAAAACAAAAAAACAUUAAGCGUUUAUUUUAUGUAAAUAUGGCGAACUUUGAUGCCAAUGCAGUAGCGGCUGAUUUCUUCCAUAGAUUUUUUUCACGUUUAAAAUGCAUGCAUGGUACAAAAAAUAUAAUAUUUACCUUGAAUCGUCGAACAAAUCACCCCUUCCUGUUUGUAUGCGGUACAGCUUUCGUACAAAAGUUCAAGCUUAAAACCAGCUUGGACAUGAGCGUGUGCCGUCUUUGGCUGACUAAAUGAAGCGAUGCAAAGAAUGACGAAGUGUCACGUCAAUGGUUAUGAAGGCUAUGGCUAGUGUUAUGUCCCUAUGCAAAUCUAUACCCUUGGUUACUACCCACCUCUGGAACUGAGCCAUAUUAAAAUAAAGCAGAAUAUAGCAUAUGGGUCAUGAGAUUUUGCAGGUGUUCCUAACACAUCUAACAUUUUGUAGUGUAUUUUUCCCCCCAAUGUGUGCCAGUGUGAAAUGUAACAGUAGCUACAGUACACAUGUAUCGCCCACACACUCCCACGUGUUUCCCCUGCAUGCUCCCUUCACAUGUACGCGCAUGACAGCAUUGAAGAGGUGCUUUAAAAAAUCAGCGCGUAGGCUAGAAGUGCGUUAAUGUGUGCGUGGGUACAUGAAAAAAAAAUAGAAGCUCCGGAGUUGUGGGUCCGCGCUGGCUGCGUGUAUGCCUUGCCCCAGGCACUCUGCCGGUCCCGGGCCGAGGCCGGUCCGCCACCCACGCUGGGGUACGGCCGGGGUUGAGCUGAAGAGUAGGAGGAAAAGAGGAGGAGGUGUGCGCUUGUAGUGCUGGUGUUGUUGUUGUUGAGUGGGCUGCCGCUUGUGAGUCAGCCUGCUGCGCACCCCCAAAUGAGAGGACGUUGCUAGAUGGCUAUUUGGAGGAAGUACUUGUGGAAAAGAACUCUCAUUUUCCCAUUUGUGUCGCCUCAGAAGUGUCCGCGCAUUCCCCAGAAUGCAAAUGCCAAGAUUUGACGUCAUUCUUCCGUGACUAGGAAGUCGCACUAGAAGCGUUCCAUUCAGCAGCUAAUCAAAACUAGUCGAGUCCUACGGAAGUCAAUUUUGUACCGCCGGAGUUUGAAUUUUUUUACAAUGAAUUUUAUUCGGCAUCGAAAUUCAAACACAAAAAUUUUUUUCAGCUUCAAAAUUCAUUUGGAGAAAAAAACUGCUGCAAAACUUCGAUUAGCGUAUUUUCCACAUGCACGUUCAAUUAAUAGACCUAUUUUAAAACUGUUUUCAUAUGAAGGGCGCACUGCAUUAUAAGGCGCAGUGGUAAUAGUAGUAGUAGUGGUUGGGGUUGCGUUGCACAUCCACGAGAUGGAGUUGCUUUAAAGGGAAUGCCAUGCCAUUAUUAACUAAUAUUGAACCAUAUAUAAGGCACGUGAGAUUAUAAGGCGACCUAUUUUUAUUUUGAGAAAAUGGAAGGCUUUUAGGUGCACCUCAUAGUGCGGAAGCUUUGGUAGUUGGAAUUACAAGUUACAAGCAAUUCGGUCGCAAAAUGAGUUGCAAAAAUUGAGUUGCAAAUAUUUGAAUUAUGUUUAAUUGGAAUUUUUUCAGCGUCAAAAUUCAGCCGCAAAAAAAAAAUUGGUCACAAAACUUCAGUCGCAGAAUUUUUUUUUUUUUUUUUUAAGCAUCAAAAUUGAUUUUGGGCAUAAAAACUGCUGCAAAAAUUCAAUUACAUAGAAUUCAGUUGCAAAAUUUCCCGCCUAAAAAAUAAUGUUCCAAGGCAAAAAAUUCAGUCGCAAAACUUCAGUAGCAAAAAUUUGAAUUUUAUGUGAUUGGAAUUUUUUUUUCAGCUUCGUAAUUUAGCCGCAAAAAAAUUCAGUCAGAAAACUUCAGAAGAAAAAAUGAAACAUUUUUAUUUAUUUUAUUUUUUUAUUUAUUCAUUUAUUUAAUUUUUUUGAAAUCGAAAUUCAGUUGGGGCUAAAAACUGCUACAAAAAUUCAAUUACAUGGAAUCCGUUCGCAAAAUUUCACUCCUAAAAAAUUAGGUUCAGAGAAAUUCGGUUGCAAAAAAGUUAGUCGCAAAACUUCAGUAGCAAAAAAUUUGAAUUUUAUGUGAUUGGAAUUUUUUUUUCAGCUUCAAAAUUGAGCCGCAAAAAAAUGCAGUCACAAAACAGAAGAAAAAAUUAAAUAUUUUUGUUUUAUUUAUUUAUUUAUUUAUUUAUUCAUUUAUUUAAUUUUAUUAGAAUCGAAAAUCAAUUGGGGCAAAAAACUGCUACAAAAAUUCAAUUACAUGGAAUUCGGUCGCAAAAUUUCACUCCUAAAAAAUUAGGUUCAGAGAAAUUCGGUUGCAAAAAAUUUGGUCGCAAAAAUUUGAAUUUUGAAAAUUCAAUUGGAAAAAACGGCUGCAAAAAUUCAAUUACCGGUACAUGGAAUUUAGUCGGAAAAUUUCACUUAAAAAAAAAAAUUCAGUUAAAAGCAAUUCGGUCACAAAAAAAUUGGAUUUUUUUUUUUCCAGCUUUAAAAUUCAGGGGCAAAAAAUUCAGUCACAAAACUUUGGUAGCAAAUAUAUUUAAAUUAAACUUAUUCAGCAUCGAAAUUUGAACGCUGAAUUUUUUUUCAGCUUCAAAAUCCAUCCGUAAAUAAUACAGUCAAAAAACUUCACUUCAAAAUUCACUCCCAAAAAAUUAAGUUUCAAGGAAAUCAGUCGCAAAAAAAAAAUUCAGACACAAAAAUUUUGUUACAAGGAAUUGCAUGGCAAAAAAACAAAAAAAUCAGUUGAAAACGGAAAUCGAUUUCUUCUCCCUGGUUGAGUGAAUUUUUUCAAACUUAAUUUUGACACUGAAAAGUGUUAGGAUUCAAACACUGAAAAACUGUGUGUUAAGAAAUUCCGAUCCAAACUGUUGCGAUUUCCGGUAUUGCGUUGUUAAUAUUGUACUUUGUGUGUUUUAACAGCAAAUUUGGACACUUAUUCAUUGCCACCUCUCGCCUCGUUCUUGACACUCCGCAGAUUGUCAUAAAAACAACCUCAAAUAGGGUUUAUCACCAUUUAUUGACAGUCCAACGUUGUGCCCUUUGACUGGGUACAAUUAGUUUAUUUGAUGCUGAUUCUUUAUCGUCUGUGCGAGCAGUGGCGGCACAAUUUUUUGACAGUUCUGCUGAAAACACUCGAUCCUUUUCUUACAUUUAAUAACCCUCGGUCUGGAAGAAAAACUUCAGGCAAAAGAAUCUGGCGCGCUUGCUCACAUGUCGCGAUGGAGCGUGCAUUUCUAUACAAAGGCGCAAGCGAUCGGCAAUGACAUCAGGGGGACUAGCCGUGCCGGGUCGACGCGCUAAGCUAAUUUCACAAGUCGUUUCACCUCCUGCGCACCCUCGACGUGACUUUCAUGUGAGGUAGAAACAAGUGUGGCUCUGUUAAGACUGCUUAGGAUAAGUGACAAUGCACAUGGGAGAUAAAACUUCAACAUAAGAGCAUAGAAACCUUUUGAAUUUUGUGUCUGUGUUGCCACCAAAAGGAUGAUACGCCAAUUAUUUUUCCCACCAAAAUCAGUCCUUCAAUUCAUUCAUUCACUUUAUUUAAAAAAUUCGGUACUAUUUUACUGGGCAUUGCAAAAUAGGUGCAGGCAGGUAGUCUCCGGGUUCCAUUCCUCUUCCACGUAAAUCAUAAUUAGCCCUUUAAGUACCCCUAAGGACCCCCUAAAUCUCAAAAUAACUACCGUAAUUUUCGGACUAUAAGCAUAUAGUUCAGUGUGUCUUAUUUGUUGAUUUACAGGUAGUCCCAGGGUUAUGAACGAGUUCUGUUCCUAUUCCGUGUAAAUCGGAAUUAACUCUUUAAGUACCCCUAAGAACCCCCUAAAUCUCAACAUAACUACCGUAAUUUUCGGACUAAAAGCAUAUAGUCCAGUGUGGCUUAUUUGUUGAUUUACAGGUAGUCCCCGGAUUAUGAACGAGUUCCAUUCCUACGCUGGCGACGUAAGACGAAUUACCGCGUAAGUUGGAAUGUAGCCCAAAAUAACUAUCCAAAAAGUCCAAAAGUAUUGUAUUUUGUAUAAUGAUGGAGGAUACACUGCCCUCUGGUGAUAGCAUAGGGUCUGGCUGGACUGUCAGAGUCUGAUGUCUGACAUGGAUAAAGGAUAGCUGUGCUCUAGUUUAGCCCACAUAAGGCUGUAAGUUGUUUCCACUAAUAUAGGUUUGUGUACGCAUUUGUAAUUAAGUUUACAGCUGCAGUUUGUGGAGUUACAUGUGAGCGAUUUGCUAUGAGAAUUGUAAAUACGUUAGCAUUUGUAGCAUUUAGGCUAAUUCAAGAGCCUUGAGUUUGAAAUCUGCAUUGUAAGGGUGUCUCGUGAAAGGAGCCAUUUUGGGUUCUCAACACAAAUUUUACCGCUUCUCACCACUGUUAUUAACACUAACCAUCCAUAUGCAGAUAGUCCCAGGGUUAUGAAUGACUUCCUUCCCUACGCUGGCGACGUAACCAGAUAUUCCGCGUCAGUCAGGAAUUAACCCCGAUAAAGGAUAGCUGCGCUCUAUUUUGGCCCACAUAAGACUGUAAGUUGUUUCCGCUAAUAUAUGUUUGUGUAUGCAUUUGUAAUUAAGUUUACUGCUACAGUUUGUGGAGUUACUGUACGUGUGAGCUAUUUAGUAUGAUAAGAGUAAAAACGUUAGCAUUCGUAGCAUUUAGGCUAGUUCAAUAGCCUUGAGCUUGAACUCUGCAUUGUAAGGGUGUCUCUUGAAAGGAGCCAUUUUGGGUUUUUCACUAAAACUUUACAUUAAUCUUUACCACUUCUUACUGCAGUUAGUAACCCUAACCAUCCACAUUCAGGUAGUCCCUGGGUUACGAAUGAGUUCCAUUGCUACGCUGGCAAUGUAACUGUCAGGGAAACGCAUGCAGGCAGGUGGACCCAAAUGCAGGGAAAGGGAGGCGAGGCACAUGAAUAGUGCAAAAAUGAUUUAAUUAAAGCCAACAAAAAACAAAGUACAAAACAAAGGCUGUGGUGAUCCCAAGAAAGCACAGAGGCAAACAAAAUUGUCACUAACAAAAGACUGGUUUUCAAAAAACUUAUUUGGAACACGAGAGCUUGGAUAGACAUCGACUUUGACAUUGACAUAGACAAUGACGAAACAAGGAGUGAAAAGAAAAUAGGAGCUUAUAUACACACAUGCAGACAAGAGGUAACGAGAACGAGGAACGGCUGGGCAACACAUGAGGAUGCAGGUUGGAGAAUACACUAGGAGCAGGCACAACAGGUGAAAUCAAUGGGCAAUCACAGGGACAAGUCACACAAAGGGAAAACCAACACAAAACCUAACAGUAACCAGAUAUUCCGCGUCAGUCAGGAAUUAACCCUAAUAAAGGAUAGCGGCGCUCUGUUUUGGCCCACAUAAGGCUGUAAGUUGUUUCCGCUAAUAUAUGUUUGUGUAUGCAUUUGUAAUUUAGUUUACAGCUACAGUUUGUGGAGUUACGUGUGAACUAUUUGGUAUGAUAACUAUAAAAAUGUUAGCAUUCGUACCAUUUAGGCUAGUUCAAUAGCCUUUAGCUUGAACUCUGCAUUGUAAGGGUUUCUCUUUAAAGGAGCCAUUUGGGGUUUUUGACACAAACUUUACAUUAAUCUUUACCACUCCUUACCACAGUUAUUAACCCUAACCAUUCAUAUACAGAUAGUCCCCAGGUUACAAACGAGUUCCGUUCAUACGCUGGUGACGUAACCAGAUAUUUCGCGUCAGUCGGGAUUCACCUUAAGAAAGGAUAGCUGCGCUCUGUUUUGGCCCAUAUAAGGCUGUAAGUUUUUUCCGCUAAUAUAUGUUUUUUUAUGCAUUUGUAAUUAAGUUUACAGCUACAGUUUGUGGAGUUACGUGGGAGCUAUUUAGUAUGAUAAUUGUAAAAACGUUACCAUUUGUACCAUUUAGCCUGGUUCAGUAGCCUUGAGCUUGAACUCUGCAUUGUAAAGGUGUCUCUUUAAAGGAGCCAUUUUGAAUUUUUAACACAAACUUUACAUUAAUCUUUACCACACCUUACCACAGUUAUUAACCCUAACCAUUCAUAUACAGAUAGUCCCCGGGUUACAAACAAGUUCCGUUCCUACGCUGGUGACGUAACCAGAUAUUUUGCGUCAGUCGGGAUUCACCUUAAGAAAGGAUAGCUGCGCAGUUUUUUCCGCAAAUAUAUGUUUUUGUAUGCAUUUGUAAUUAAGUUUACAGUUACAGUUUGUGGAGUUACUUGUGAGCGAUUUGCUAUUAGAAUUGUAAAUACGUUAGCAUUCAUAGCAUUUAAGCUAGCAGACUUUUGUUAGGCAAAUUAGGGUAUUUUAAUCAAUUUUAAUUGACACAUUGAUCAGACUAGAUGGGCAUUUGAACACUAAUUGUUUUGUGUCAAGUGUUUUAUUGUUAAAAUGCGUGUCGUUUUGAGCAUAAGUGUCCAUAUCUGUUACGGCUUUACAAAUUGUCAAAAGUGAAGGAAGUCAACAGCUUCAAAAAGCACAAUUGUCUUGUUUGCUGUCUGUCAAGCUGAACAACUUCACGUUUAGUGACGACAGAACAUGUCAUGUUAAUAAAGUAGGGCUGUCAAACGAUUAAAAUUUUUAAUCGAGUUAAUUACAGCUUAAAAAUUAAUUAAUCGUAAUUAAUUGCAAUUCAAACCAUCUAUAAAAUAUGCCAUAUUUUUCUGUAAAAAUUAUUGUUGGAAUAGAAAGAUAAGAAAAGAGAUGGAUAUAUACAUUCAACAUACGGUACAUAGGGACUGUAUUUGUUUAUUAUAGUAAUAAAUCAGCAAGAUGGCAUUAACAUUAUUAACAUUCUGUUAAAGUGAUCCACGGAUAGAAAGACUUGUAGUUCUUAAAAGAUAAAUGUUAGUACAAGUUAUAGAAAUUUUAUAGUAAAAACCCCUCUUAAUGUUUUCGUUUUAAUAAAAUCUGUAAAAAUUUCAGUCAACAAAAUAAACUAGUAGCCCGCCAUUGUUGAUGUCAAUAAUUACUUACACAAUGCUCAUGGGUGCUGAAGCCUAUAAAAUCAGUCGCACCCAAGCGCCAGCAGAGGGCGGAAAAACUCCAUAAAACACAAUUAACAUGUGGGCAUUUCUCUGUACUGUCAUUUAAAUCUGUCUGAGCGGGCAUGUGCGUUAAUUGCGUCAAAUAUAUUAACGUGAUUCAUUUAAAAAAUUAAUUACCGCCCGUUAACGCGAUAAUUUUGACAGCUCUAUAAUAAAGAAGAUACUGUGAGGUAUAAUAAGGCACUGUUAAUGCGACAAAAAAAAAUGAAAACGACUGAAGACAAAAUGGCGGACGUGACUUCGGCGUCGUAAAGUCGAAAUCGUGUAAGUCGAGUAUGUCAUAACCCGGGGGACUACCUGUAUAAGGUGAAUCAGAUUAUAAUGCACACUGUUGGCUUUGGGGUGCGCCUUAUAGUGUGGAAAAUACAGUAAUUAGCUUAUGUCACCAUCCCUAUUUUUUUUACAUCUCGUUCUCACAAGUGGAAGUCAGGCCGGGCGCCAACGUGACUCGGUUAGCUCAGCGCCGUUGAAUGGCAGCUUCCUGGGUUGUGCCAUUUGGAAAGAUAAUGGAAGGUGGUUCUCAGGGAGUCCACCAGUCUCGGGCGUCGGCGCCGAGAGGGCGCGGCCCGGGAGGGAGCGGUGGGGAAGUGGUGGAUGACAGCAUGGCCAGGUGGAAGUGAGAGCAGGAAACUGCAUUAGUCAGUAGCGCUUGUGUGGAGGCAUUUGGGGGCGCUGGAGAGCGACGUCGUGAUCCCCGGAGAUCACGCAUUCCUAGCGGUGUGACCCCUCACCGCCUUGGCAGCGUUUGCCGCUUUCGCGUCCUGCGAGGCAGCACAGUCGCUCAUUCACUCGCUGGAGAUGUUUUCCCUCUCGCACCUCCGAAAGGAAGAGGAAGAGGAAAGGGGGUGGGCAGAGGAGGUGGGGGUUGUGCCGUCAUGACAAAGCGGGGUGUCGUUCUUUUAGACAAGUCACGUUGCCAUCGUACCUCUUUGCUAUCCUACCACCAUACCCGACACUUUCAUGGACGUUUGACUCCAAAUACGAUCUAGGCCACUUUCAUAUACGGGUUUAAAUAGGGAUGUCCCCGAUCUGAUCGAAAUGAAGUGAUCGGGCCCGUUUCAGCACAUUGAGAGCGAAAAGGCAGAGAAAUGCGAGCGGAUACAGGCGUUCACUGGACCGCGCCUUUUAUUGCCAUAAGCUUUUGCUACUCUUUCACAACAAAUAUAAUUAUUGUGGCAAACGAUGUGGGGAAGAAUGACAGGAGACGAUCUUUUUCUUAACACGCUUAAUUGAACACAACGCAGAACCUACCACUGACAGUCAUGGUUGCCCAACUUCCCAUCAUGCAUUUGGGCGGAACAAUUAUGUCGCUACAGUAUCAUUUAGUCAAAGCACAACAAAAAUAAUAUUCCUAUCGCUCACAGGACACGAUCUUUUUCUUAACACGCAUAAUUGAUCACAACGCAGAACAUAUACCAUUUGCAGCCACUACUGACAGUCAUGGUUGCCCAACUUCCCAUCAUGCAUUUGGGCGGAACUGUUAAGUCGCUACAGUAUCAUUUAGUGAAAGCACAACAAAAAUAAUAUUCCUAUCUCUCGAAAAAUUGUUCACAAAAAGGAAAGCGCUCAAUGCAAAGAGAACUGGCAUUCCCAAUCAAAAUAGCUAUGCAAAAUACACAUGAAACUUACUCAGACUUUGCCUUGGCUAGAUUAAUUAAUUUAAAACUCGCCAUUGACACCUUGUGGUGUAUUUCAAUCACUACCUUACGUAGUUAAGGACACUGUGGAAGAACGGCAGGGAGCCCAUGUAACGUCCCGCUUGGCAACAUCAACAAUGGCGAGCUACUAGUUUAUUUUUUGACUGAAAAUUUUACGAAUUUUAUUAAAAUGAAAACAUUAAGAGGGGUUUUAAUAUAAAAUUACUAUAACUUGUAUUGACAUUUAUCCUUCAAGAACAAGAAGUCUAUAUCCGAUCACCUCGAGUAAUUUGAUUAGAAAAAAGCUUCAAACUAAAUUUUGCUGCUUCGAGGAUUCGCUUAAUUAGAGUGGUGUUGUAAUGGUUUGUUUUAACAGUGUUUGCAUUUAGUUUUAUUGAUUUGGGUGGUUACACUGCCCUCUAGUGGCAACAGUGAAUAUGACGUGACUCAUCUUACACGGCUGGAUCCAGCUGCUCCCUGUUAAGACCAACAUAAGGUUGUAAGUUUUUGUUUAAGCUAAUAUGAUUGAUUAUGCAUUCGUAAUUUAGUAUAGAGAUAUACAAGUGCCCUCUAUAAUUAUUGGCACCCCUGGUUAAGAUGUGUUUUUUAGCUUGUAAUAUAUAUAUUUUUCUAAAUAAUAUGGGACCUUAAAGGAAAAAAAUAGAAAAAUCCAACCUUCAAUACAAGUGCAUUCAUUCAGUGGGGAAAAAAAUCCCACAUAAAGAAAAAAAUUAUUUGACAUCAAAUAAUGUGUGUCACAAUUAUUAGCACCCCUGGUGUCAAUACUUUGUACAACCCCCUUUUGCAAAAAAAAACAAGGUCUGGGGACUGAGAUGGCCAUGGGAGGAGCUUGAUUUUGUGUCUGGUGAACCAUUUCCGUGUAGAUUUGGCCAUAUGUUUAGGGUCAUUGUCUCGCUGAAAGACCCAGUGACGACCCAUCUUCAGCUUUCGGGCAGAGGGCAACAGAUUUUGAUUUAAAAUCAAAGAACCAAGCAGGGUGAGGCAGCAUUUAGUUAUUAUGCUCCUCACCUCUGGAACAAGUUACCCGAACGUCUGAAGUAUGCUCAAACUGUUAGCUCCUUUAAAUCAGGGCUAAAAACGCUUUUGUUUAGCACUGCAUAUCCAUAAUUGUCUAUAUAUUUCAAUCUACCUGCCUUCUAUUCCUCUUGUGCUUAUCUCUAUUGCUGAUUUCAAUGAUUAUUAGUAGUAGUAGUUUUUGCUUUAUUUUUAUUUUUGUUUUAUUUUUAUUCAUUUAUUUUUAAUCUGUGAUUAAAUGCAAUCUUUUGUCUUGGUUUUUACGUUGUGUUGAUUUAAAUGUGAUUUUUAUGGUCUUCAUGUGAUGUAAAGCACUUUAAAUUGUCUUGUGUUGAAUUGUGCGAUAUAAAUAAAUUUGCCUUGCCAAUUUGCCUAAAAUGUCCUGGUAUUUCAAAGCAUUUAUGCUGCCAUGCACCCUAACAAGGUUCCCAGGCUUCAACUGGGACCGUGUGCUUUGGUCAGAUGAGACCAAGAUUGAGCUUUUUGGCAACAAACACUCUAAGUGGGUCUGGCGUGCCAUGAAAGAUGUGCAUGCUGAAAAGCACCUCAUACCCACUGUGAAGUAUGGGGGUGGGUCAGUGAUGCUGUGGGGCUGUUUCGCUUCCAAAGGCCCUGGGAACCUAAUAUGUGCUAAUAAUUGUGACACACAUUAUUUGAUGUCAAAUAUUUUUUUCUUUAUGUGGGAUUUUUUUCCCCACUGAAUGAAUGCGCUUGUAUUGAAGGUUGGAUUUUUCUCUUUUUUUUCCAUUAAGGUCCCAUAUUAUUUGAAUUAAAAAUGUAUACAUAUUAGAGGCUAAAAAACACACCUUUUUCAGGGGUGCCAAUAAUUAUGGAGGGUACUGUAUUUAGCUGUUUUUUAAUUUUUUUUUUGUGGGAAUAUGUUUCUGAACGAUUUGUUAUGAGCAAUGUUAAAAAAAAAAAAAAAAGUUAGCAUUUUAUAACAUUUAAGCUAGAGGACUCUUGCUAUGCUCGUUAGUCAAUUGUCUUUUUGUUGUACUUUGAUCCUCAUUUAUCUAUUUAAAUGCAUUUAUUGCUCUUGUGAAAUGAAAGUGCAAUGCUGCAUAGUUUGAUAAAACACUUGGGAAUUUUAUUUUGUAUUUGCAUUUAAUGCAAUUUUGAAGGUGCAGUCUUAGCAAGCUUUUGUUUUACAUCAGCUAAAAUUUACUCUGCAACGCAUUAAAUGUUACUAAUCCGAUGACUUGAUUAUUCGAAGUAAUUGAUCGCUUAAUCGAUUACUUCAAUUAUCGAUAGCUGCAGCCCUACACUAAAGCCAAAAGUUUGUGAGUUGCUGGGGAGAAGUGGCUGGGGUCAGAGCCAAAUCUCAAAAAAUAGACCCUCCGGGAAAGCUUUGAGUGGCCCCAGCGCCGGUUGUUCCACAAAUAGUUCCACUGUUGUGUGGAAUGAAAAUAGAAAAGACUUUGCAUGUGGCGUCAUUAUUCCGGAGAGCACGCAUAAUUCCUGUGUCACCCAAAAGCAGCACGGGUAAAGCUGCUGCAGUUUACCUGUGUCUGAGGGGUUACUAGAGGCUAAUGCACCCACGCACACGUACAAAAAGAAGGAGUGAGCAUUGUAGAGCAAGCCUAGUGGGCACAGAUAAGACUUGCAGUCAUGCCUUACCAGCGUGACUGUGACAUCACAGUUGCAUUGAGAGUUCCAAACAAACUGGCUUGAUGCAGUCAGCCCCUUGACCUCCUGUGAGGUUAAACAAAAUAGCAAAAAAAAAAUAUUAAGAUAAACAAGAAAAUGCAACUUCUAGAAAAAAUGUGUGGGGAUGCUUUGCUACUGUAGGUUUUCUAUCACUUGCUAUUCGUUUUGGGGCAUUUUCGGGUCACUUCCUUGUUAGUGUCAUUGAUGGCCAGCGGUGGGUAGAGUAGCCAAAAAUUGGACUUAAGUAAGAGUAUCGUUACUUUUAAAAUAAUAUUACUCAAGUAAAAGUAGUCAUCCAUAAAAUGUACUCAGGUACAAGUAAAAAAAUUUGGGUGAAAAGAAUAAUCAAGUAAUGAGUAACAUUGUGAGUAACUGCUUACAAUCUUUGAUUUUUCUUUAAUUUUUUUUUUUUUUUAGCACAAAGUUAUUUAUAUGAACUUAUUAUUAUACGGUACUAUAACCUAUUACAUAACCACUUUAAGCCAAAGGACUACGAAAAAAAAUCAUUGAAUUCCAGUGAGAGAAAUUUUUUUUACAGAGAUAAAGCAUCAUGUGUCCAAAGAGCAUGAGUGCCCUCUAGUGGAGAAAUCAACUCCUAGUUUGAAUUUUUGAAUAGUAGGGCUGCCAAAUUUAUCACGUUAACGGGCGGUAAUUAAUUUUUUAAAUUAAUCACGUUAAAAUAUUUCACACAUUUAACGUAGGCGCGGAACGACCCACUCAUGCAUUGCCGCAAACAGACUACAAUGGCGCCGUUUUAUAUAUAUUGAGAGCUAAAAGGCAGAGACAAGCGAGUGGAGUGGACACAGGCAUUCAUUGGGACGGCGCUAUUCAUAGGCAUAAGCGUUAGCAUCUCUUCCGCAACAAAUAUUACUAUUGUGGCGAGCGACGUGGGGAAGAAUGACAGGAGAUGAUCUUUUUCUCAACACCCUAUAUUGAACACAACACAGAGAAGAUAUACCAUUUGCAGCCACCACUGACAGUCAUGGUUGCCCAACUUCCCACCAUGUAUUUGAAUGGAACAGUUAAGUCGCUACAGUAUCAUUUAUUGAAAACACGACAAAAAUAAUAUUCCUAUCUCUUAAAAUAAAUAAUGUUCACAAAAAGAAAAGCGCUCAAUGCAAAGAGAACUUGCAUUCCCAAUCAAAAUAGCUAUGCAAAAUAAUACUUAGACUUUGGUCAAACUCUAUUCAAACAUUUCGUUUAGCUCAACAAAUACACUAGAUGGCAAUAUUUAGUCACAAUAUACAAACUAUCAGAGGUCUCGUACGUUGUAAAGUCAACACUAAAAUGAACGUAAGGUACAAUGAACCCGGAAACUACGGCGUCAGUCGACGGGCAAAACGUACUAGAAAAACUUGGCUAGAUCUCUAAUUAAUUUAAAAUUCGUCCUUGACACCUUGUGGUGUAUUUCAAUUACUACCUUCCACAAUGGAGAGCUAUUAGUUUAUUUUUUGAUUGAAAAUUUUACAAAUUUUAUUAAAAUGAAAAAAUACAGAGGGGUUUUAAUAUAAAAUUACUAUAACUUGUUUUCACAUUUAUCUUUUAGGAAUUACAAGUCUUUCUAUCUGUGAAUCCCUUUCACAGAAAGAAUGUUAAUAAUGUUAAUGCCUUCUUGUGGAUUUAUUGUUAUAAUAAACAAAUGCAGUACUUAUGUACAGUAUGUUGAAUGUAUAUAUCCGUCUUGCCUUAUCUUUCCAUUCCAACAAUAAUUUACAGAAAAACAUGUCAUAUUUUAGGGAUGGUUUGAAUUGCGAUUAGUUACGAUUAAUUCAUUUUUAAGCUGUGAUUAACUCGAUUAAAAAUUUUAAUCGUUUGACAGCCCUAUUGAAUAGUUCCUUCAUUGUUCCCAUCAUGUUCCUAUUCAUUGUUCCUAUAUAAACCGAUCCUAGGCGGCUUGCCGAGAUAUAUUGACCUGCUGCCAUUUGACUGUUUUUAUUCUUGACCCCAUCGUCGCGAGUUGCAUCUUUACCUUGUUUUUUCCGUUCGCCUGCCACUCGCCGCAGUUUUCCCUCUUUCAUUUUUUUUUAAUUGAUCCCGAUCUACCGUCGUGGACCGUUUUUGUGUCUUGCAUUUUUUUGUGUGUUCAAUAAACCUUUUUACGCAAUCCCUAUGUUAUUGUUGUCUGCUUGUUUCUGCAUUUGCGGACCAAAAUGCUUUCAGGUUUUACCGCGCAAAGACACAAGGCAUGUGGGUUGGGAUUGCAUUAUAAGGAAAAGCAUGACGCUGAUAUCACGUGAAAGUAUAGUCCUGUGGUCUACGACUCAUCUAUUGCUUUUGCUGCUCGUUUUGUGAAAUAUCAAUAGUAUUGUCCUGCUCAUCAUUUUUCUGCUCGGGUUCGAACUGGAAGGGCAGAACCGACGACAUGUUUAUGUACCUAAAGAGUGACACUGUGGAAGCACAGCAGCGCCAGUUCAUUGCAUCGUCAACAACAAUGGCGACCUACCAAAGCUAUUAAACUAAUUUUAAAAUUUUUAUUAGGGCUGUCAAAAUUAUCACGUUAACGGGCGUUAAUUAAUUUUUUUAAUUAAUCACGUUAAAAUAUUUGACGCAAUUAACGCACAUGCCCCGCUCAGAAAGAUUAAAAUGACAGCAGUGUAAUGUCCGCUUGUUACUUGUUUUUUGGUGUUUGGCGCCCUCUGCUGGUGCUUGGGUCCAAAUGAUUUUAUGGGUUUAAGCACAAUGAGUGACCAUGGUGUAGUUAUUGACAUCAACAUUGGCGAGCUACUAGUUUAUUUUUUGAUUGAAAAUUUUACAAAUUUUAAUAAAACGAAAACAUUAAGAGGGGUUUUAAUAUAAAAUUUCUAUAACUUGUUCUAACAUUUAUCUUUUAAGAACUACAAGUCUUUCUAUCCAUGGAUCACUUUAAGAGAAUGUUAAUAAUGUUAAUGUCAUCUUGUUGAUUUAUUGUUAUAAUAAACAAAUACAGUACUUAUGUACCGUAUGUUGAAUGUAUAUAUCAUACUCGUAUAAUACUCAAUUAAAAAUUUAUCGUUUGACAGCCCUAAUUUUUAUUAAAACGAAAACAUUAAGAGGGGUUUUAAUUAGGGGUGUCAAAAUUAUCGUGUUAACGGGCAGAAUUUUUUUUUUUAAAUUAACCACGUUAAAAUAUUUGACGCAUUUAACGCACAUGCCCAGCUCAAACAGAUUAAAAUGACAGCACAGUGGAAUGUCCACUUGUUACUUGUGUUUUUUUGGGUUUUGUCACCCUCUGCUGGCGCUUGGGUGCAACUGAUUUUAUGGGUUUAAGCACCAUGAGAAUUGUGUAAUCAUUGACAUCAACAAUGGUGGGCUACUAGGGUCCAAAUGAUUUUAUGGGUUUAAGCACAAUGAGUGAGCAUGGUGUAAUUAUUGACAUCAACAUUGGCGAGCUACAAGUUUAUUUUUUGAUUGAAAAUUUUACAAAUUUUAUUAAAACGAAAACAUUAAGAGGGAUUUUAAUAUAAAAUUUCUAUAACUUGUACUAAUAUUUCUCUUUUAAGAACUACAAGUCUUUCUAUCCAUGGAUCGCUUUAACAGAAUGUGAAUAAUGUACCUAUGUACCGUAUGUUGAAUGUAUAUAUCCGUCUUGUAUCUUUUAUUUCCAUUCCUACAAUAAUUUACAGAAAAAUAUGGCAUAUUUUAUAGAUGUUUUGAAUUUCAAUUAAUUACGAUUAAUUUUUAAGCUGUAAUUAACUCGAUUAAAAAUUUUAAUCGUUUGACAGCCCUAGUUUUAAUAUCAAAUUACUAUAACUCAAACUAACAUUUAUCUUUUAAGAAUUACGUCUUUCGAUCUGUGCUACCCUGUAAUGUGACUCUUUUGUUUGUGUAUCAAAUAUGAAAAAUGGUAGAGCUGAGAAGUGAUUAGCUUUACAAUCAUUUCUUAGCUUCCCAAACAUCCCAAAAAUGUUAACGUUGACUUUGUUAUCUGUUUCAUCCCCUCACCCCUGACCCCUCCUUCACUUUACCUCUGCUGUUUAAAUUCUUUGACCUUAUCUUUGAAAGUCUUGUUUAUCGGCGGUUGUGUCACCAGCACCUCUGUUGCCCAUUAAACUGCUACCCGAGCGCUUUGCCGCAGAAUUCCCAGGCUACUCGGCUGCCCGGGUUCACACCUUUUUGUCCGCAGGAAUCUCAGGAAUCCCCAACUUCCUUUCUAUUGUGUGUGUGUGGCAAGAUGAAGGAAGGGCCCCCGCCUGUUGAAAUGCACAUCAUCUCCACCCUUGUAACCACCCGGAGAAAGCGAGCAGGCAGCUCUCACAAUGAACUGAUACUCGCAUUCUAAAACGGCAAAAAAUACCUAUUAUGUUGUAAUAACUAGUAUUGCACAGAUACCUUUUUUUUGGCUCCUGAUACCAAUUCGAUACUGUACCGAUACUACUUUUUUUGAAGAAAUACAAUACAGGUAGUCCUGGGGUUACGAACAAGCUUCCGACCCUACGCUGGCGACGUAACCUGAAUUUCCACGUAAAUCGGUAUUAAAACCCUUUAAAAAUUGAACUAUCCAAAGAGUUUGUUUAAUGGUGGUGGAUACACUGCCUUCUGGUGGUAGCAUUGGGCCUGGCUGGACUGUUGUUCAAUAAUGCUUCCAUAUAGGAGCACUCAGACGUCUCUUGCAUAGACUUCAUAAUGUAUUGACGGUACGUGGGGCCGAUUUACAGGGAGCAGGGAGCCUAUUUCCGUCAAAGCUGACCAAGUGGAAACACAGACAAAGAGCCUUUUCCGUUGAAAAUUCUUGUGAAUAAAUGCUUAAAUCCCAGAAUUAUUUAUAGAUAUGGACGUAAAACAGUCUCGAUUCUUCACUCAACAGGAAAACUACAUUAUUUUCAAUGAAUUACACCCACCUGGACGCAACGAACUGUUUGUAGGAAAAGUUGUUCGAGAGUUGAAGAGGACGCUUGCCAUUAGUAAUGCUAACGCGAAUGCUCAGCUAACGCUACGAGUUCGAUUCUUGGUUAAAAGCAAAAAAAAAAAAAAAAAAAAAAAAAACGGGCAGUUAGCAUUUAUUUUACAUAAAUAUGUCGAAUGUGCUGCUAGUCUAUUAGUGAAUGUAGCAGUUAUUAUUUUUCACGUAAAUAUUGCGAACUAUGAUGCUAGUCAGUAAGUAAACUAGCAGCCGCCAUAUGUAAACAAAGAGCUGUUUCUGUUGAAAAUUUUUGUGAAUAAAUGCUGAAAUCCCUGAUUUUUUUUUGCAGAUACGGACGUAAAACAGUCUCGAUUCUUGGUUAAAAGCAAAACAAAAAACAAAAAAAACAUGUAGUUAGCAUUUAUUUUCACGUAAAUAUUGUAAACUAUGAUGCUAGUCAGUAAGCAAAUUAGCGGCCACCAUAUGUAAACAAAGAGCUUUUUCUGUUGAAAAUUCUUGUGAAUAAAUGAUUGAAUCCCUGAAUUCUUUAUUGAUAUGGACGUAAAACAGUCUCGAUUCUUGGUUAAAAGCAAAAAAAAAUGUGCAGUUAGCAUUUAUUUUACGUAAAUAUUGCAAACAAUGAUGCCUGUCAGUAAGCAAAUUAGCGGCCGCCAUAUGUAAACAAAGAGCUUUUUCCGUUGAAAACUCUUGUAAAUAAAUGCUUAAAUCCCUGAAUUCUUUAUCAAUAUGGACGUAAAACAGUCUUGAUUCUUGGUUAAAAGCUAAAUAAAACAUGCAGUUAGCAUUUAUUUUGUGUAAAUAUUGCAAACUAUGAUGAUAGUCGGUAAGCAAUUUAGCGGCCACCAUAUAUAAACAAAGAGCUAUUUCCGUUGAAAACUCUUGUGAAUAAAUGCUUAAAUCCCUGAAUUCUUUAUAGUUAUAGACGUGAAAACAGUCAUGAUUCUUGGUUAAAAGUAGAGCUGUCCCAACUAGUCGACAUAGUCGACGUCAUCGAUGACGUAAAUCCGUCGACGAGCACAACAUCCCGUCGACGGUUAAUGAAGGGUUAAAAAAAUAUAUGCGUGGAAAGUUAGAAUGUCGGAUGCUCUGUUUGCAAGCGGGGAAAGCGGCACAAAGCCAAAAAAAAGCGCACCAGAGUGUCCAAAACAUUGACUUAUUUCAAAGAAACAAAGGAGAGUACACUCUUCUGUCCUGUCUGUUCAGUGCCAAGCUUGGCUGCAUGUCGGCCGUGAAUAAACAACUCAAGCGCCUCCACGCAGUUUGUAAUUUUUUUUUUCCUUCAUUUUUUGUACACCAGAGGGUGCUGUCGCCUUACUAAAUAAUAAUGUUUCAUUGACAAUGGGCCUAUAAGUGCUAUUAGUAUUGUUCUUAAUGCUAAUUGAAAGGUUUAUUUCAUGUUAUGGUUUAUUUUAAUGUAUAGAAAAUUAUAUAAGGUUAAAAGGUCAUAAAUAUAUACAGUAUAUACAGUCAUUGCACUCAAGGGAGAGAUUGUCAAUGAUAAGGUAAUAAGGUAAAGGCAAUUCAUAUAGGCAAUUCAUUGAUAUAUAAAUAAGGUUUAAAAGGAAAAAGGUGAAAAGUUUUUGUUAAUUUCUAAUUGUGUUGCUUUAUUUGUGUGCACCGUAGCUCUUACGGUGUGUUUACAUCAAGGAUGGAAUAAAAGUUGUAAACCAUCAGUUUAAGAGACCAUCUUUUCAAUCGGGAUGCUACACUAGUUAAUUCUAUCAGCAUUUGAACUCAUUGUUUAUUUGUGAUUUAUUAUUGUUAUUUACGUGUUUAUUUGUACUUUAAUAAAUAAUUUGAGUGUUCCAAUAUGUUUUUUGUGAAUUGAUAAGCGUCAACAAAAAUUUCAUUGCUAAAUUAGUAAAAAAAAAAAAAAAAAAAAUUUAAUUAUUAGAUUAGUCGACUAAUCGUAAAAAUAAUCGGCUGACUAAUCGGGAGAAAAUUAGUCGUUUGGGACAGCCCUAGUUAAAAGCAAAUAAAAGUGUAGUUAGCAUUUAUAUUACGUAUAUAUUGCGAACUAUAAUGCUAGUCAGAAAGCAAAUUUGUGGCCACCAUAUGUGAGCAAAGAGCUUUUUCCGUUGAAAACUCUUGUGAAUAAAUGCUUAAAUCCCUGAAUUAUUUAUAGAUAUGGCUGUAAAACAGUCUUGAUUCCUUGUUAAAAGAACAGAGAACCGGGCAGUUAGAAUUUAUUUUACAUAAAUAUUGCGAAUUAUGAUGCUAGUCAGUAAGCAAAUUAGCGGCCACCAUAUGUAAACGAAGAGUUUUUUCCGUUCAAAAUUCUUAUGAAUAAAUGCUUAAAUCCCUGAAUUCGUAAUAGAUAUGGACAUAAAACAGUCUCAAUUCUUGGUUAAAAAACGUGCAGUUGUCAUUUAUUUUACGUAAAUAUUCCGAACUAAAAUGCUAGUCAGUAAGCAAAUUAGCGGCCGCCAUAUCUAAACAAAGAUCUUUUUUCGUUGAAAUAUUGUGAAUAAAUGCUUAAUCCCUGAAUUCUUUAUAGCUGUAGACAUAAAACAGUCUUCAUUCUUGGUGAAAAGCAAAAAACCAUGCAAUUAGCAUUUAUUGUACGUAAAUAUUGCGAACAAUGAUGCUAGUCAGUAAGCAAAUUAGCGGCUGCCAUAUCACAGACAAAGAACUUUUUCCGUUGCAAAUUCUUGUGAAUAAAUGCUUAAAUCCCUGAAUUCUUUUAUAGAUAUGGACGUAAAACAGUCUCGAUUCUUCACUCAACAGGAAAACUACAUUAUUUUCAAUGAAUUACACCCACCUGGACGCAACGAACUGUUUGUAGGAAAAGUUGUUCGAGAGUUGAAGAGGACGCUUGCCAUUAGUAAUGCUAACGCGAAUGCUCAGCUAACGCUACGAGUUACAUUUACUGUGUGAUGAUCUCUCAGCACAGACCUUUAAAGCCUAAAGCAAAAUUGUAAAUGAUCUCUGACCAAGAUAAGAAAACAAAUCUUACUGUGUGCGCAAGUUUGGAGACUGGAAAGGACACUGGUGAUUCGGUGGGGGGUGCAGCACAUCACAUGAGUGACACAACCAGACACUGCUACAAUGCUGGCUAACUACACAUAAAAUGUCACACAAUGUGAACAUGUGACGGAAACUGUGGAGCAUUUUCGUCUCGUUCUCGUCCCGUGAGUCAAAACUAGCAUUAGUCUUGUUGCAUUUUAGUCUCCAAGACUCGUUAUUAGCUCCUUAUCGUCUCGUCAUCGUCAUGAAAGAAAUUGUUCGUCGACGAAAUAUUUUCGUCAUAGUCAUCGUUGACGAAAACCACACUGCUGUGAGGUUCAACAAGGUACUGGAAACAAAACAACGGACGAGUCUUCGGCGUCGUAAAGUUUAAAUCGCUUAAGUUGAGUCUGUCUUAACCUGGAGACUACUUGUAGUAAACAAUUUUUAUUGUUAAAUACUCCUGCAAAUAGAUGACUUUAGACCAUAGUUUCAGUCUAAUGUUGGGUACGAAUGCAACUAAUUUCCGAUGAGAACAAGGAUGACCAUGUUUUGUAAUUGUCAGUUCUCCCAGCAACAUGGGCCUCAUUUUGCCUUCAAAUUCUAGUCAAUAACAUACUUGCAUUUUGCUUUUUUUUUUUUUUUUUUUUUUUUAAAUCAUAAAAAUGUCAAAUUUCCGCCCGUGUCUAUUUUGCGCAAAAUCUUCCGACCGGUGACAGAACGCUAAAUAAUGACAGGCAUAAGACGGUGUUUAUUUGAGUCCUGAUGUGAUUUGGCAGUGGCGGAGUCAUUUGAGCCACUGCGGUCUUGACUCAUCCCCCGUUCCAGCGCUGCCUGCUGCCACAACUCAGCAGCGCCCGUCGGACCCGACGCCGAGCAACACGCGCGCACAGACCCGUUCAUUCAUGGGAUCGACACGCGACAGGCGGUGAUUCACGCACACCCACUCGUUUUAUGUCGUCGCAUCGAGCUAGCGCCGCGCCGGAGGCUGAGGCUUUUUGCCCAAAUCCAUCCCAUCGCAGCCGUGUUCCAACCACAGAUUCUUUCAAGUCCGCAUGACACCCCGUGUUGUAGCUCUUUGUGCUUACUGCGAUAGCUUUAAAUGGGGCUGUACGUGUUAUUUUGGGGUAUCAAUUCUAUUCGAGCAAGACUCUCACCUGAAGAUACUAGUACUGAAUCUGCAUAGUUCUUUAUCAACAUUUACAGUACAUAGUAUACAUUAUUAGUUUUUUAAAAUCCAUGUGUAUAUACUGUAGGGCUGAAGCUAUCGAAUAUUUUAGUAAUCGAGUAUUCGACUGAAAAUUCUAUCGAUCAAUCAAAUAAUCGGACAAAACAUUUUUUGGGGGGGGGCAAAUAUAAAUAUACAUGAGAAAACAAGACAUGUCACCUAAUAUAGACACAUUUUCAGAAAAUUUAAAAAAAAAUAAAAAUUAGCCACUUCUCAUUGGCAUCGUAGUUUGCAACAUUUACAUAAAAUAAAUGCUAACAUCACGUUUUUUUUAUUUUUAUUUUUUUAUUUGCUUUUAACCAAGAAUCGAGACUGUUUUACGUCCAUAUCUAUAAAGAAUUUGGGGAUUUAAUUAUUUUUUUCACAAGAAUUUUCACCGGAAAAGCUCUGUUUACAUCAGGCGUCAGCUAGCUACAUUCACUAACAGACUAGCGUUGUACUUCGACAUAGUUACGUGAUAUAAAUGCUAAUUGCAUGGGUAAUUUUUUGCUUUUAACCAAAAAUCGAGACUUUUAAAAAAUCCAUAUCUAUCAAGAAUUCGGAGAUUUAAGCAUUUAAUCACAAGAAUUUUAACCAGAAAAGCUCUGUUUACAUCAGGCGGCCGCUAGCUACAUUCACUAACAGACUAGCGUUGUACUUCGACAUAGUUACGUGAUAUAAAUGCUAAUUGCAUGGGUAAUUUUUUGCUUUUAACCAAAAAUCGAGACUUUUUAAAAAUCCAUAUCUAUCAAGAAUUCGGAGAUUUAAGCAUUUUUCACAAUAAAUUUCACCAGAAAAGCUCUGUUUACAUCAGGCGGCCGCUAGCUUCAUUCACUAACAGACUAGCAUUGUACUUCGACAUAUUUACGUGAUAUAAAUGCUAACUGCACUUCUUCUUUUUUGCUUUUAACCAAGAAUCGAGACUGUUUUACGUCCAUAUCUAUAAAGAAUUCGGGGAUUUAAGCAUUUAUCCACCAUAAUUUUCAGCAGAAAAGCUCUGUUUACAUCAAGCGGCCGCUAACUACAUUCACUAACAGACUAGCAUUGUACUUCGACAUGUUUACGUGAAAUAAAUGCUAACUGCACGUUUUUUUUUUUUUUUGCUUUUAACCAAGAAUCGAGACUGUUUUACGUCCAUAUCUAUAAAGAAUUCGGGGAUUUAAGCAUUUAUUCACAAGAAUUUUCACCGUAAAAGCUCUGUUUACGUCAGGCAGCCAUUAGCUACAUUCACUAACAGACUAGCAUUGUACUUCGAAAUGUUUACAUGAAAUAAAUGCUAACUGCACUUUUUUUUUCUUCUGCUUUUAACCAAGAAUCGAGACUGUUUUACGUCCAUAUCUAUAAAGAAUUCGGGGAUUUAAGCAUUUAUUCACAAGAAUUUUCACCAGAAAAGCUCUGUUUACGUCAGGCGGCCGUUAGCUACAUUCACUAACAGACUAGCAUUGUACUUUGAAAUGUUUACGUAAAAUAAAAGCUAACUGCACAGUUUUUUUUUUUUUUUUUUUUUUUUGCUUUUAACCAAGAAUCGAGACUGCUUUACCACCAUAUCUAUAAAGAAUUCGGGGAUUUAAGCAUUUACUCACAAGAAUUUUAACUGGAAAAGCUCUAUUUACGUCUGGCGGCCGCUAGCUACAUUCACUAACAGGCUAGCAUUGUACUUCGACAUGUUUACUUAAAAUAAAUGCUAACUGCAGGUUUGUUUGUUUUUUUUUAUUUCCGCUUUCAACCAAAAAUCGAGACCGUUUUACAUCCAUAUCUAUAAAGAAUUUGGUCAUUUAAGCAUUUAUUCAAAAGAACUUUCACCGGAAAAAUUCUAUUUACGUCAGGCGGCCGCUAGCUACAUUCUCUAACAGCUCUGUUUCUGUUUCUGUCUCUAAAAGCUGUUUUUUUUCAGUUUUUUUUUUUUUUUUUUGCUUUUAACCAAGAAUCGAGACUGCUUUACGUCUAUAUCAAGAAUUCAGGGAUUUAAGCAUUUACUCACAAGAAUUUUCAACAAAAAAAGCUCUUUGUCUGUGAUUCCACAACAAUGCAGGCCCCCUUUAUAUAGUCUAUGAUCCGAUAUUAUUUUAAAUGCUUUCAUUGGCCGUAAUUACCAGCAACCCGAUAAUAUCUAGUCUAGUCUAGUCUGUGAACUUUUGAAUAGCUGUCGACUCUCCCUGAUAGGGUUAAAAAAUAGAUAUAUAAAUAAAUCAAUCUCUGUGUAAACAUUUAGAUUUGAAUGCAUAGCUCAGGACUUUUGACUCUUUUAGUUAUUUGGGUCAAAUGUCCUGGGAAGUGACUCAGGGUUUGGAUUUGAAAGUUAUGAAUGAAUCCUGACAAAGACAACGUGUGGCAAUGUGUGUGUAACAUGGGUGCAGCAGCAGCGGCGUCGCCUUUGAUGAGUCACACGGCCUUCUGUGAGUAAGCCACCAGCUAUGUCAUUCCUGGAGGUUUGAGGCUCCCUCCGCCCCGAACCCCCGAGUGGGUGGAGAAGGGUGCGGUGAGGGGUCGAUAGGUGUGGUCCACAGCGGUGCCGUGUGUGGGGCUAGAAUGGCAGGAAGUAGGUGAAGGCUGGCAGAGGAUGUUGGGGGCACACCAAGGGCGAGGACCAAGGUUGCUUUCAGGUCAACACGUGGCCGCCUGUAUCGUUAGCUGUUUCCUUUUCAGUUGUUGAAGUCGCCUAACACGUCUUUUAUUCAUGUCAGUAGUUUAAGUUGUAUCAAGUGAAAAGAUCAGGACCAGCUCUAUUAUAUUGUGAUUGUCUGUUUUGUGGUGGGGGUGGGGGGUAUUUUCCAUAUCAUAAGAUUCAUCUUUUGGACAGGCCUGUGACUUAUGUUCAGGUGCGUCUUUUUUUUUUAACCCGAGUGUUUUUUCAAAUUAUACAGAAUUGCACUUUAAAAAUAAACUAGGCUUGCAAGCAGGACUGAACGGGCCCUCGCAGUUUGGCACAACUGGGACGGCACUCAGGUCAGGGUGGUGGCAGAUCGUCCCCAUUUCAUCAUCUCAUAAGAACCUAACUUGCUUAAAAUUUGCUUAUUUUGGGGGGGAUUAGAAAUGCAUUCACAUAUCAAGGAGAAAAAAAACCCUAUUGAAGAGGGUCCUCCAAAAAAAAAGGCGCUACAUACUCACAUCCAUUUCAAGUAUGAAAAAGAUUGAACCUUGGAUGUGGAUUAGUCAUUGACUGAAUUUGGCUUUUUGCCAAAAAAAAAAAAAAAAAAAAAAAAAAAUAGCCAACUUUGGCACCCUGGCCAGGCCUGUGAAUGGAAACUCACAAUUUUGAUAACCUUUAAAUCACAUGUCUCAUGAACAGUCUCACCAAUUUUGGGGAGGAUCCUAUUAACUCCCUAAGUGCCAAGGUCUCAAAUGUGCACCCAGUAAAUCGAUAAAAAUUUCACAUUCAAUCCAAAAUACCCGAUUUCCUGUUGGGAUUGGAAUAUGGGUGCAGAGACUUUUUGGAGCAGUUUUGCACAAAUUAUCGACUCCAAAAUUUCAUCUCUCUAAGUUGAAAAAAACCUAAUAGGAGAGGCCUUUUGAAAAAUUCAAGGAGGCGCCACUGAGCCAUUUUGUUAAGCUUUUUCACAACGUCACAAAAUGAUCUAAAUUUACGCCAAGCCGCAUGUAUAUACAAAGUUUUCGCGCAUGUUAAGGCCUCCAAAUUUUCCAUUUUCAUCUGCCAAGGGGAAAAAAAUCCUUUGCAUUACAAUAGGGAUCUCGCGCCAGUAGGUGCUUGGGCCCUAAUAAAAUACCUGAGCGGUAUAAAAUAAAUAAAUAAAUAAGGAUCAAAGUACAACAAAAGAACAAUUACGUACUGCAAGCCACACAUCACUUUUGCUCAUUAAUAUUCAUGACGUUAGCAUUUGUGGCUAGGCGGGUCAACCUCCCGUUUGUGCCUAAUAGUAAAUGCGUUGAAAAAGUGUAUGAACGAGAUGUUUACUGGGCUAAACCUACCAAUUCUGUCUGAAACUGAUGUCCCUGGUGCCAAAUUCACUGGUAAAGAUGUGGAAGAACAUACAGACGUUCAGUUAAAGAGAUGGCUUGAGUGUCAAGGGCUGAAAAAGAGGAAAAAGAGCUGACCUGAUCCAGAGGUAGCUUUUUUAUGGACACCUUUUUCUUGUGUGCGUUGCCUUACGCCACUGACAAUGACAUUCUCCUGUUUCAACAAUCUAUCCUUUACCACCGUAUGCCCUGUCUUUCUUAUAUAUUGUCUGGUUGUCUUACGUCUCUGACCGUUCUUUGCUAUUUUUGUGUAGCGAUCGCAAAUGCUACUCAGUGACAGCCAACGAACACUUUUAAUUUUUUCAUUAAUAACAAAUCUUAAUUCUAUCAUUUAUUUACACUUCCCCCUUAUUAAAGUUGUUUUUUUAACAACAGAAAAGGUAACAGUGGCAGUCAGAUAGCAUUUUAAUUUUUUUCAGGUCAUUCAUUGUAAGACAGAAGCAGCACGGAAAAACGCCACACUAAAAAAUAAGUCAAAAUAUUCUAAAUGGCUUACCUCUUCACCCUCUGUAGGACCAUUGCCCCCCAAAAAAUGUUUACUGCAUAUGAGAUGUGAAUGGCUUCACCUUGCUGGCGUUAAACUGUUUUUUUGACAUCCGCACAAGUUGAUCUAUUCUUCACAUUUUUUCCUUCGGGUUUUUGGCUACGAGAUACGUAUGAAGAAAACAUCCUUCAUAUGUUGAAAUGUCUAGAGGCGUUUCUACAAGUUCCAUAGCAGCAGUGUUGGAUUGGCACGCUCUUUUUUGAAAGACUAACAGAGAAAACAAGAAAUAACAUGGGUUGUAUGCGAGGGCGUGUCUAUCAUGUCCCAUUUCCUUGUUACGAUGGCGACGUCACGUUCUAAAAAUAGCAUUCGUGCGGCACGCUAUUGGCUAACUUGCAUAGCAAACAUCCGCUAGCUUAAAUGCUAUGAAAUGCUAACAUUUUUAUUUACGUUCUUAACAAAUCGCUAAAACACCUAUUCCCACAAAAAAACAGCUAAAUAUCAAAUUACUAAGAUGCUAGUUUAGACAGAUGUUGGAAAAUUGGCAAAAAUUUGUUUUUUUCCAACGUAAACUCACUAAUAAUAUAAUGACAAAAUCUGACCAUAUUUACAACUCAAAAGUUAUAUGUAUGUUUCAAUUUAAAAAUUUAGACGGGUUUAAGGUGAAAAAGGUGAAAAAAGUGCAGCAACGACUAAUCGAUUAACUCGAAGAUUUGAAAAAAAGAUUUGAAUUAAAUUUUUCUGCUUCAAGUAUUUGUUUAAUUAAAGUGGCGUUGUAAUGGUUUAUUUGGAAAGUGUUUGCAUUAAUUUUUAUUGAUUUGGGUGGAUAAUAACUAGUUCACCGACUAAUCGACUACUAAAAUAAUCGAUAGCUGCAGCCCUAGUCAUAAACGAUUGUUUAUCAAAAUAGUUGUCAAUUAAUUUGAUAAUAAUUGUUAAAUAUUGUUAAAAAUGAUUGUUGCACCUCUACUACUUACUUAUUAAAAAUUUGUAUUUACAACAGGUUGAUGAAAAUUGAGUUCGGUUCACUUAUCAUAUGGGCGGAAAACACUCAGGUGACUUGAAGUUCCGCACUGAGACCCCCAAUUUGGCCAAAUUUCAAAAUUGCCCUAUAUGCAUGUGUGAUCAAGACACAGAAACAGCUAUAAGUGGCCACAGCCGGAAUUUGGGGGGAUUUUAUGGGUGAAACAUGGUAAUAUAACAAGGGUUGCGAUGCAGAAAUCGCAAACAUCAAGGAGUGGUCGAAAUUUUCAUUUUCAUAUAUUUAUCCUUUUAAACAUUUUUUUCAAUUUUUCUUUGUGUGGAUGGAUUAUUUAUCAUCUUAAAAUAUACUAAAUUUUAGACAUCAAUUAAUGAUUCUAAGCUAAAAAUGACAGACAUUACAAAUAAUAAAUAUGUUUACUUAUCUCCUUUUUAUGGUUAGGUUGAAACAAAAGCGGUUGCGCGACCAUUAGCGGAUUUUAAUGGGGGGCCAGGCCCUUCCGGUGGCCGAAAAGUGUCAUUGCAUGUAAUUGACUUUCCUAUAUCUAUAAAAGUUGUAAAGCAAUAAAACUGCUACAAGAGCCAAAAAAUAUAUUUUUAUAAUGGGUCAAAAUUAUUUUUUUAACACAUAAUGUGACUAGCACCUUAGACGGUCAUUUGCUUUGCAUAUAAUUUUCAAAUAAUAUAUAUAUAUAAUAUUAGGGGAGGGCAAUUUUAUUUUUCUAAUGAUUGUUUUCUUUGAUUGAAAAUAUUUUUUUUGAUUGAAGCAACUUUUGGGGGAUUGAAUGAUUUAGACACAAAUGUCCUACCCAUAAUAUGGCCUAAAUACAAAAAGGAUUGCUUCAAUCAAGGAAAACUUUUUCAAUGAAAAAUUAAGUGUUCAAAUGCAAAUUUUUCAAUCUCAAAUAUUUUUUCACAUCCAAAAACUUUUUUUUUUUUGAUUGAAGUGAUUUUUCUUUUUGAAAAUAUAUUUUUUUUUGAAGCAACUUAUUUUUGGAUUGAAUAAUAAAGACAAAAAUGUCCUAGCCAAAAUGUGGCCCAAACACAAAUCAUCAUAAUUUCAAUUAAAUUUUUUUUUUAAAAAGUUGCUUGAAUAAAAAAAAACUUCAAUCAAAAAAAACACAAAAAACAAAGAAAAAUAGCUUUCACAUGCAUUUUUUGUUUUUUUUUUUUGUUUUUUGAGUUUCAAAUUUAUUUUUUGCAUUCAAACACUAAUCAAUAAAACUGAAUGCAAACACUUCCAAAAUAAACCAUUACAACGUCACUUUAAUUAAACGAAUACUCGAAGAAACAAAAUUUAAUUUGAAUAUUUUUUUCUAAUCGAAUACUCGAGUUAAUCGAUUAAUCGUGGCAGCACUAAUAAAUAUAAUAAAUUGCCUUCGUUUUAUGGCUGGGUUGAAACAAAAGCUGUUGCGCGAUGUCUGUAAACCGGGGUUUCCCGGGUAAAACGGACAAAUUAAACAUAGUUCAGUGGCUUCAUGCGCCAUGAAUCUGCUAUGGCAGAAGAUAAACAUAUUGUUUUAUCAAACACAACAGUUCUUUUGGCUUAGAAUACAGCAGUUUAUUUUAGAGAGGGGCGCAAGAGCGGAAACUGCUUUUUCAGCCUUGUCUAUGUUUUCCGCCAUAUUUAAUUAAGUUGUAUGUUAGCAUUUACAGUGUACUAUUGAGUGAAGACCCCAGCCUCUUUGGACACCCUUCAGGUCCAUUUCCAGCUCUUUUGCCGGGGGUUUCCUGCCGGCUCGCGAUACACGCACACACACAUACCCCCCCUCUCCUCCCCUUCCUUCGUCUUCCCUCCUCUCGCUUUUUUUUCCUCAAUGGAUGUCCUCUCCCUAACCUCAAUUGAGAGCCGUGUAACAGGACACUCCCCUUGGCCUGCCCCCCUUUUUGUUUUUUCAUUUGAGGAGCCACGCUAUAAAGAGUGCUGGAGCGCUGAUCCCGAGUGUGUGUGUGUGUAUGCGUGAGAGAGUGAGAGAGCGUGUGUGUGUCGGGGGGCCGAGCAAGGGAGAUAGAAAGGAAACAUGUGAUAGCACUACUUGGGAGAGUUUUAACGGCUGCGACGUCUCCAGAGCGCUGGGAAAGCACCUUUAGCCCAGAGGGACACACACAUAGGAAUAUAUAGAUAUAUAUUUGUGUGUGUGUGUGUGUGUGUGUGUGUGUGUGUGUGUGUGUGUGUGUGUGUGUGUGUGUCACUGUGAGCCUGUUACUGAUUACACUCGGAAGAAUGCAACAGCAGGAAUAAAAGGCAGACGAGUGAAGAUUUUUUUUCUUUUUAAGAGAGCGUGUGUGAUUUGUCCAAGCAAGGACGUGGGUGAGAACUUGUUACCCAAUGGCGUCUCUUUUCUCUCUCUCUCUUUUUCUCUCUCCUCCUCCUCCUCUCUCACCCACUGAUGGACCAGGCAAAAGUUUAAAGAGUGACGCCGGAAUCACGCUCGGAGUCAGAGGAGCACGGGACAGCGCCGGGAAAUGGUGACGAGAUUGAAGAUGAAGCUGGGGUUGGCACGGUCAAGCGUUUCGCACAAGUUUCGCGAAGAGAACCAUUUGUUGGGCACCCACUACCACGAGAGAGACCGACUGGCCCUGGAGCGGCUCACCCCUUUUUUCGUACGGCGGCCGUCACUUGCUCAGUAGGCAGUGUAGAUCCUGUGUAGCAAUCAGCAGCUACAUCUGGCUACUGGGUCUCUGGCGGCUCGGCCCGCUUCCCUCCACGUUGGACUCGCCGCAUUCCGAGCCUCGCGAUGUCUGCGGGACGGGGCGUGGAGUUUCUCCAUCCUGUGACCCCUACAGACAGGAUGUUCUCUGUCACAACUCCACAAGGGGCCCUUGUCAAGGCUUUUGUGCUUUUCCUCCCACCACUCUUCUUUAAAGGCUUCCCGUUUGGCCGUCCAAAGAUCAUCGAUUUGCUUUGUCCUGAACCUGGCAUACAAUGUAGAUUUCUGUGUGCUACAAUUCUACAGCUACAUUGUCUGCUGGGUUUCUGGCUAGCAAUAUAAAUCGGUGGCCGAUUCGUGAACGUCGAUAAUAUUGCAAAGAAGGUAAGCCAGAGUUAAUAUUAUGUCAUCAUUCCUUGUUUGUUUUUAAAGCACUUCAAUAAAAAAAAAAGAACACCGCACUAUACUGACUGCUGCCUUUUUUUUGUCCAAGCAGUGGCACCUCCAGAAAGUUUUCAUAGGGGUGGCCAGAUGGCGCCAUAAUUUCAGGUUAUUAUGUUGUUGCAGUGAAAAGACCAGAAGAAAACUAUCAGAAAGACUUAAGGACACGCAUACUAAUAUACUUUGGUGUAUUGUGUUAUAUUUAAUUUUACUAAGUGCACACUCCAUAACAGUCCAGUCAACAUUUUGAGUUCCACAACAAUUCUGUUUUAAUGUGUUAUGUAUACACUGCUGGCCAAAAGUAUUGGCACCCCUGUAAUUCUGUCAGAUAAUGCUCAAUUUCUGCCAGAAAAUGAUUGCAAUUACAAAUGCUUUGGUAGUAAUAGCUUAAUUUAUUUUGCUUGCAAUGAAAAGAUACGAAAGAGAAUGAAAAAAAUGUUUUAAACAUUAUCAUUUUACACAAAACUCCAAAAAUGGGCCGGAAAAAAGCAUUGGCAACCUCAGCCUAAUACUUGGUAGCACAGCCUUUAGACAAAAUAACUGCGAACAGCCGCUUCCGGUAUCCAUCAAUGAGUUUCUUACAAUUUUAGAGCAUUCUUCUUUUGCCAGCUGUUCCAUGUCUCUGAGAUUUGAAGGGCUUCUCAAGUCCUCAGACAGUUCUUUGGUCUUCUUUCUUUUUUCCAUUCUCAAUGUGGUACACACAAGGACAGAGGUUGAGUCAACUUUAAUCCAUUUUAACUGGCUACACGUGUGAUCUAGUUAUUGCCACCACCUGUUAUGUGCCACAGGUAAGUAACAGGUGCUGUUAAUUAGAGAAGCAUCACAUGAUUUUUCAAAGGGUGCCAAGACUUUUGUCUGGCCGAUUUUGGGAGUUUUGUGUAAAAUGAUAAUGAUUUAAUUUUUUUCCCAUUCCCUUUUGGGUUUUUUUUCAUUGGAAGCAAAAUAAAGAUAUUACUACCAAAGCAUUUGUAAUAGCAAUCAUUUUCUGGUAGAAAUUGAGCAUUAUCUGGCAGAAUUGCAGAGGUGCCAAUACUUUUGGCCAGCAGUGUAUGCUCAUUCUAUGAGAUUGGUUUUUUUUUUUGUUUUUCCUUGUCUUUUUUUCUGCCAAAACUAUCAAUAUUAAAACAAUAGAAGGUUUGAACUACCAACUAACUUAACUUUAUCACAAUAUACAUUUUUUUUAGGACCAGCAUAUUUUAUGUGAACUGGUUGUUUUGUAUUGUAAUUUUGUAUUUUGUACAGUUCAAUAAAAAAAAAAAAAAAACGUGUUGGGGACGUUGCAACAACGCUCUGGUCGCACCAACUGUUCGGGUUGUUGUUUUUCUAUUGUGCCAAUAACGGACAAUUUACGUGAAUAAAUGUUCCAUUAUUUUAAAAAAGGACCAUACGAUAUCCGUUAGGGGUGUGACAAAAUAUCGAAAUGGUGAUAUAUCGUGAUGCUUUGUAUCCCAAAAGGUUAAAAAAUAUGUAUAUAUAUAAAAUAAAAAUUUAAAAAACGGAACCAACAAGUUUCUAUCAAAACCUUCAACUAUAAUAGUGUCUAAGUUAACUCUAUGGCUGCCAUUGAUGGCGCUCGACGCCCAAUCCAUUUAGACUGGGAGGGUCGAACGAACGUUCAUUCAUUCGAAACCAGUGCAUUCACAGUCACUCUUUCUGAUUUUCAGGCCAUUUACAAGUCAAUUUCUGUUCAUUUUAGUGCAUUUACAGGUCGCUUCCUGUUGCGUUUGAGUCACUGCCUAUUGAUUUGGGAGAUUCCUGGGCUACUUCCUGUUCCGUAACCCAAAAUCAACAGGAAGUGACUCAUAAAAUGCCACGAAAACAAACAGGGAGUGAUCAAAAUUAAUAAAGUAAUGAUCUGAAAUGCCCCAAUAUUACCUCGUCGCCUAGCAUUGGCAGCCACUGAUGGCCAUA